GAGAUCAAGAGGAAUACUCAUUGCGAAGGCGACCUACUGGAACAUUACUGACGCUGAUGCGCGAAAGCGUGGGGAGCAAACAGGAUUAGAUACCCUGGUAGUCCACGCCCUAAACGAUGAAUGCUAGUUGUUGUGGUGCUUGUCACUGCAGUAAUGCAGCUAACGCAUUAAGCAUUCCGCCUGGGGAGUACGGUCGCAAGAUUAAAACUCAAAGGAAUAGACGGGGACCCGCACAAGCGGUGGAGCAUGUGGUUUAAUUCGAAGCUACGCGAAGAACCUUACCUAGGCUUGACAUUGAUAGAAUCUGCUAGAGAUAGCGGAGUGUCUAGCUUGCUAGACCUUGAAAACAGGUGCUGCACGGCUGUCGUCAGCUCGUGUCGUGAGAUGUUGGGUUAAGUCCCGCAACGAGCGCAACCCUCGUCCUUAGUUGCUAACAGUUUGGCUGAGCACUCUAGGGGGACUGCCUUCGUAAGGAGGAGGAAGGUGAGGACGACGUCAAGUCAUCAUGGCCCUUACGCCUAGGGCUACACACGUGCUACAAUGGUAUGUACAAAGAGACGCAAUACUGUGAGGUGGAGCAAAUCUCAAAAACAUAUCUCAGUUCGGAUUGUAGUCUGCAACUCGACUACAUGAAGCUGGAAUCGCUAGUAAUCGUGAAUCAGCCAUGUCACGGUGAAUACGUUCCCGGGUCUUGUACUCACCGCCCGUCACACCAUGGGAGUUGUAUUCGCCUUAAGCCGGGAUGCUAAACUGGCUACCGUCCACGGCGGAUGCAGCGACUGGGGUGAAGUCGUAACAAGGUAACCA
rnacentral:rRNA from 1 species